rnacentral:misc_RNA from 1 species
UCCGGUUUGGCACCGGCAGUCUUCCUAGAGUCCCCGCCAUUACGCGCUGGCAACUAAGAACAGGGGUUGCGCUCGUUGGGCUUUCACCCUUCUACUACCUGCAUGUCCAGCCUGGGUAAGGUUCUUCGCGUUGCGUCGAAUUAAACCACAUGCUCCACCGCUUGUGCGGGCCCCCGUCAAUUCCUUUGAGUUUCAACCUUGCGGCCGUACUUCCCAGGCGGAAUACUUAAUGCGUUAGCUGCGGCACCGGCGGUAACCCGCCGACACUUAGUAUUCAUAGUUUAAGGCGUGGACUAC